CCUACGGGAGGCUGCAGUCGAGAAUCAUUCACAAUGGGGGAAACCCUGAUGGUGCGACGCCGCGUGGGGGAAUGAAGGUCUUCGGAUUGUAAACCCCUGUCAUGUGGGAGCAAAUUAAAAAGAUCGUACCACAAGAGGAAGAGACGGCUAACUCUGUGCCAGCAGCCGCGGUAAUACAGAGGUCUCAAGCGUUGUUCGGAAUCACUGGGCGUAAAGCGUGCGUAGGCUGUUUCGUAAGUCGUGUGUGAAAGGCGCGGGCUCAACCCGCGGACGGCACAUGAUACUGCGAGACUAGAGUAAGGGAGGGGGAACCGGAAGUCUCGGUGUAGCAGUGAAAUGCGUAGAUAUCGAGAGGAACACUCGUGGCGAAGGCGGGUUCCUGGACAUUAACUGACGCUGAGGCACGAAGGCCAGGGGAGCGAAAGGGAUUAGAUACCCUUGUAGUC
rnacentral:rRNA from 1 species